GUACUAUUUUUGCAGCUGACGCCUUUUACUUUUCUAACUUAUCUCUAUUUUCUUUUUUCUUUUUUUUUUCUGCUUAAAAAAAACGGAAAUAAUAAAUUUAAUGUACUGACUGACAGACACACCUUUCAGAACUCUUCAAAAGAAAAAAAGAAAAUUUUGAAAAACUACGCGUCCUUCCCAACACAACAACAACGAACUUCUUUCUUCGCACCUCAAAACCCUAACUCCUCUCUCUCUCUCUCUCUCUCUCUCUCUAUAUUCAUUCUGUUUAACUUUUUAUCUUUCUAAAACUCCCUCUCAGUUCUCACGUCAUUUCAAAUCCCCAAUCAGUAGAUCUCUGGGUUCCAUGGAUGAUAAAGAUAAUACCGGCGAUGACUUUGUUACUGACUCCACCUGGACGCUAGGACCUGACUCCGAUGGCGUCAGUUACUUCUUUGCAACCGAGCGAGAGAGCAGUAUACUCAGCGAAUUCGGAUGGAAUCUUCACACCAGUGAACCGGAACGGCUCGAUGAACUUGACCCGAUACAAUCUCAAAAUACAGCCGAUUUGGCGGGAAAUCUUAGGUUUGCACCUGAGAGCAGCAGCAGCAGCAGCGUGUUACAAGGAUCGGUACCUACCGGUCGCGAUACUCGUACUGGUACGGCAAUCCCUGGCAGUGGCGGUGGCGAUGCGUCGACUUCGAAUCCAUCAAUAUCGUCAAGCUCCAGUGAGGAUCCGCCAGAUAAGUCCGCGAGUUCCGUCGGGAAACCACCUGAGAUACCGUGAAAUAUUUUGUAGGAGUAAGGGCAAAAAGAAGGGGCAGAAACGAAUCCGACAACCACGUUUUGCGUUUAUGACAAAGAGUGAAGUUGAUCAUCUUGAGGAUGGAUACCGUUGGCGUAAAUAUGGACAGAAAGCAGUUAAAAACAGUCCAUUUCCCAGGAGCUAUUAUCGUUGCACAAAUAGCAAAUGCACUGUGAAGAAGAGGGUUGAACGGUCUUCUGAAGAUCCCACCAUUGUGAUUACAACAUAUGAAGGCCAGCACUGUCACCAUACUGUUGGUUUUCCUCGAGGCGGAAUAAUUAGUCAUGAAGUCACAUUUGUUAACCACAUGACUCCGCCAGUUUCACAAUUUUAUUAUACUGGAAUUCAGACACCUCGAGAAAAUCCUCCAACUAUUACACAAUCACAACAAACAUUACCGGCUCAAACCGGUGAACCCGGUACACUGAGAGAGCCAAACCGGCGGGGCCCAACAGAUGAAGGACUUCUUGGGGACAUCGUGCCUCCUGGAAUGCGUAACAGAUGAGACAGAAUUGAGAAUUCAUUUUACUUUAUUGUGGAGAACAAAAGGAGCAAGCCAGAAUUUUCUAGCUCGAAGUGAGUCCUCAAGUCUUGUAUUUAUCUCUUGGUACUAGAGUGCAUGACUUUAUACGUAUCUCACAUUGCAGCAGCUGUAGUUAAUUCAUUUCUGUUUGGGAGUUCUUCUUCAUGGGAGGUACGUGACCCCGAAUGAUAUAUAUAUAUAAUGAACACUGUGAACUGGGCCACUUCUUGGUGGUGGUUCAGUUACGUGGAUUUCGAUGUUGCUUCAGAGUCAGCCGACAGUGCUUUUUCACUCUCUUUCCUUUUUCCUUUUGUUUUACCUUUUCUUGAAUCUUGACCUUUCUAUCUUUUUUAUUUUUCUCUUUCUUGAUGGUACUCUUGUCACUUUUUAUCCUUUUUCCCUUUCACUUUUUACCUUUUCUUGAAGGCAGCUUGGGUUACUACAACGGACAAGUAUUGCUUCUCAUGUAUGUCUUCUUUAUAUCCCAGAAUCAAUUAAUUUUGAAGUAGUAAUGUAUUAAAUAAUUUAAAAUA